rnacentral:misc_RNA from 1 species
AGGAGGACAGAGCGGUAGAGAGAGAGAGAGAGAGAGAGAGAGAGAGAGAGAGAGAGAGAGAGAGAGAGAGAGAGAGACAGAGAGAGAGAGAGAGAGAGAGAGAGAGGGAGAAGAAGAAGAAGAAGAAGAAGAGAAUCUCGUUCCUGAUGGAAAGGAGAACAAGCGCCAGUUGCUGAAUAUACGAGGGUAGAAGCUGAGGUAGGUGACGGAGG